rnacentral:rRNA from 1 species
UACGUAGGGUGCGAGCGUUGUCCGGAAUCAUUGGGCGUAAAGCGCACGUAGGCGGUCUGUUAUGUCGGAUGUGAAAGCCCUCGGCUCAACUGAGGAAGUGCAUCCGAAACUGGCAGGCUAGAGUACUAAAGAGGGUCGCGGAAUUCCCGGUGUAGAGGUGAAAUUCGUAGAUAUCGGGAGGAACACCGGUGGCGAAGGCGGCGACCUGGGUAGAUACUGACGCUGAGGUGCGAAAGCGUGGGGAGCAAACAGG